rnacentral:tRNA from 2 species
AGAAACUUAGGAUAAACCCAAACCGAAGGCCUUCAAAGCCUUAAACAAGAGUUAAACCCUCUUAGUUUCUG